ACUCUAGGUCAGACGGGAUCACCCACUGAGUUUAAGCAUAUCAAUAAGUGGAGGAAAAGAAACGUACCAGGAUUCCCCUAGUAAUGACAAACAAACCAAGAAGAGCCCAGCUUGAGAAUCGGGUGCCUCCGGUGAUCGAAUUGUAGUCUAGAGAAGUGUCCUCAAUGGUAGAUCAGGCCCAAGUCCCCUGAAAAAGGGCACCGAAUAGAGUGAGAGUCCCAUUGUGCCCAGACCCUGUGGCACCAUGAGGCACUAUUCGUGAGUCGAGUUGUUCAGGAAUGUAGCCCCAAUCGGGCGGUAAAUUUCAUCCAAGGGUGAAUACAGGCGAGAGACCGAUAGCGAACAAGUACCGUGAGGGAAAGAUGAAAAGGGCUUUGAAAAGAGAGUCAAAGAGUACUUUAAAUUGUUAGGAGGGAAGCGGAUGGGGGCUGGUUAUGCGCCCUGGUGGGAUGUGGAACGGCGAGAGCCGAUCCGUCGAUCGACUCGGGGUAUGGACCGACGAGGGUCACGUUGGAGGCCCACACCCGGGCUUUCGAUGUGCCUGCGGAGACGUCAUCAUCACCAUCGUGGAAUGCAACACGUGCCAUCUCGACAUGCCUUGGCACUCGUGUGCUCCUUGUGUCAACCUACGGGCUCCCCAUCUGGCGCAUCUUGAAACCCAGACUAAAGAGUCUAACAUGCGUGCGAGUCAACAAGCCAGGAAACCCGUAAGGUGCCAGGAAGUUAAUUGGUGGGAUCCCUCAUGGGUGCACCGCUGAUCAACCUUGAUCUUCUGAGAAGGGUUUGAGUGCGAGUAUACCCGUCGGGACCCAAAAGAUGGUGAACUAUGCCUGAACAGGGUGAAACUAGAGGAAACUAUGGUAGAGGCCCAUAGCGAUACUGACGUUCAAAUCGUUCAUUUGACUUGGGUAUAGGGGCGAAAGACUAAUCCAACCAUCUAGUAGCUGGUUCCCUCCAAAGUUUCCCUUAGGAUAGCUGAAGCCCUCGACAAGUUUUAUCAGGUAAAGCCAAUGAUUAGAGGCAUUGGGGGUGCAACGGCCUCAACCUAUUCUCAAACUUUAAAUAGGUAGGACAACGCAGCUGCUUCGUUGAGCCACGCCACGGAAUCAAAAACUUCAAGUGGGCCAUUUUUGGUAAUUAGAACUGGUGAUGCAGGAUGAACCAAAAGUUGGGUUACAGUGCCCAACUGUGCACUAACCCAAAACCCAUAAAGGGUGUUGGUCGAUUAUGAUAGCAAGAUGGUGGUCAUGGAAGUCAAAAUCCGUUAAGGAGUGUGUAACAACUCACCUGCCGAAUCAGCUAGCCCCAAAAAUGGAUGGCGCUUAAGUGCGCGACCUAUACCCGAUCGUCGGGGCAAGGGCCAGGCCUCGAUGAGUAAGAGGGCAUGACGAUCGUCGUAAAAUUUGGGGUGUGAGCCUGGGCGGAAUGACUGUCGGUGCAAAUCUUGGUGGUAGUAGCAAAUAUUCAAAUGAGAACUUUGAAGGCCGAAGAGGGGAAAUGUUCCAUGUGAACGGCACUUGCACAUGGGUUAGUCGAUCCUAAGAUACGGGGGAAGCCCAUUCGAAAGUGCAUCCCGUGUGAGCUUCGAAAGGGAAUCAGGUUAAAAUUCUUGAAUCGAGAUGCGGUGGCUGACAGCAACGUUAGGGAGUUCGGAGACGUUGACGGGGACCUCAGGCAGAGUUAUCUUUUCUGUUUAAUAGCCCACCCACCCUGGAAAUGGCUCAACCUGAGGUAAGGUCCAGCGAUUGAAAGAGCAUCGCAUGUUGCGUGGUGUCUGACACGCCCCUGGCGGCCCUUGAAAAUCUCGAGGACCAGUGCCGUCCACACCCGAUCAUUCUCAUAACCGCAUCAGGUCUCCAAGGUGAACAGCCUUUGGUUGAUGGAACAAUGUAGGCAAGGGAAGUCGAUAAAAUGGAUCCAUAACCUCAAGAAAAGGAUUGGUUCUGAGGACUGGGCACGGGGGUCCCAAUUUUGAACCUGUCAGCUGCAGGUGCACUGCUCAAGCUACUCCCACGGUGAGAGUGGGUCGUCUCGUGCCAGUCGAGGGAUGGACUGGGAACGGCUCCCUCAGGGGCCUUCCCUGGGUGACGAACAGUCAACUCAAAACUGGUACGAACAAGGGGAAUCUGACUGUUUAAUUAAAAUAAAGCAUUGUGAUCAUCCCUACGGAUGCUCACACAAUGUGAUUUCUACCCAGUGCUCUGAAUGUCAAAGUGAAGAAAUUCAACUAGGUACGGGUAAACGAUGGGAGUAACUAUGACUCUCUUAAGGUAGCCAAAUGCCUCAUCAUCUAAUUAGUGACGUGCAUGAAUAGAUUAACAAGAUUCUCACUAUCCCGUCUACUAUCCAGUGAAACCACAGCCAAAGGAACGGGCUUGGCAAAAUCAGCGGGGAAAGAAGACCCUGUUGAGCUUGACUCUAGUUCGACUUUGUGGAAUGACUUGAGAGGUGUAGGAUAAGUGGGAGACCUCGGGCAAAAUUGAAAUACCACUACUUUUAACGUUAUUUUACUUAUUCCAUGAAUCAGAGGUAGGGCAUAACCCCUUCUUUUAGACCCAAGGCCGACCUCGAUUAAUCAUUUCGGGCAAAAGACAUUACCAGGUGGGGAGUUUGGCUGGAGCAGCACAUCUGUUAAAAGAUAAUGCAGGUGUCCUAAGAUGAUUUCAACGAGAACAGAAAUCUCAUGUGGAAUAAAAAGGUAAAAGCUCAUUUGUUUUUGAUUUCUAGUACGAAUAUGAAUCAUGAAAACGUGGCCUAUCGAUCCUUUAGACCUUCAAGAUUUGAAGCUAGAAGUGUCAAAAAAGUUAGCGCAAGGAUAACUGGCUUGUGGCAGCCAAGCGUUCAUAGCGAUGUUGCUUUUUGCUACUUCGAUGUCGACUCUUCCUAUCAUUGUGAAGUAGAAUUCACCAAGUAUUGGAUUGUUCACCCACCAAUAGGGAACAUGAGCUGGGUUUAGACCGUCGUGAGACAGGUUAGUUUUACCCUACUGAUGGUGACAUCACGAUAGUAAUUCAACCUAGUACGAGAAGAACCGUUGAUUCACACAAUUGGUCAUCACGCUCGAUUGAAAAGUUAGUGGCGCAAAGCUAUCGUGUGUUGGAUUAUGACUGAAUGCCUUUAAUUCAAAAUUUGGGCUAGAAGCAACGUGCGUGCCUACCGCCUGAUUGCUGACCCAUAGUAGGGGCCCAUAGCCCCCAAGGGCACGUGUCAUAGGUGUAGCCCCCAUGGCAGAUGAGCCACAUGGGCCUCCUUGGAGCUUAAUUCCCACCGAA
rnacentral:rRNA from 1 species